rnacentral:rRNA from 1 species
UUGAACGCUAGCGGCAUGCCUUACACAUGCAAGUCGAACGGCAGCACGGGGGCAACCCUGGUGGCGAGUGGCGAACGGGUGAGUAAUGCAUCGGAACGUGCCCAUCGAUGGGGGAUAACUGCGCGAAAGCGUUGCUAAUACCGCAUACGACCUACGGGUGAAAGCAGGGGACCGCAAGGCCUUGCGUCGAUGGAGCGGCCGAUGCCGGAUUAGCUAGUUGGUGAGGUAAAGGCUCACCAAGGCGACGAUCCCGUAGCUGGUCUGAGAGGACGACCAGCCACACUGGGACUGAGACACGGCCCAGCCUCCUACGGGAGGCAGCAGUGGGGAAUCUUGGACAAUGGGCGAAAGCCUGAUCCAGCAAUGCCGCGUGUGGGAAGAAGGCCUUCGGGUUGUAAACCACUUUUGGCGGGAAAGAAAUGGUCUGUGCUAAUACCACGGAUUGAUGACGGUACCCGCAGAAUAAGCACCGGCUAACUACGUG